AGGAGUGUAGCUCAAUUAGGCAGAGCAGUGGUCUUCAAAACCAUCGGUUACGGGUUCAAUUCCUGUCACUCCUGCCA
rnacentral:tRNA from 1 species